rnacentral:rRNA from 1 species
ACGAACGCUGGCGGCGUGCUUAACACAUGCAAGUCGAACGUGAUUUUUGUGGAAAUUCUUUCGGGAAUGGAAAUGAAAUGAAAGUGGCGAACGGGUGAGUAACACGUGAGCAACCUACCUUACACAGGGGGAUAGCCGUUGGAAACGACGAUUAAUACCGCAUGAGACCACAGAAUCGCAUGAUAUAGGGGUCAAAGAUUUAUCGGUGUAAGAAGGGCUCGCGUCUGAUUAGCUAGUUGGAAGGGUAAAGGCCUACCAAGGCGACGAUCAGUAGCCGGUCUGAGAGGAUGAACGGCCACAUUGGAACUGAGACACGGUCCAAACUCCUACGGGAGGCAGCAGUGGGGAAUAUUGCACAAUGGGGGGAACCCUGAUGCAGCGACGCCGCGUGAGCGAAGAAGGUUUUCGAAUCGUAAAGCUCUGUCCUAUGAGAAGAUAAUGACGGUAUCAUAGGAGGAAGCCCCGGCUAAAUACGUGCCAGCAGCCGCGGUAAUACGUAUGGGGCGAGCGUUGUCCGGAAUUAUUGGGCGUAAAGGGUACGUAGGCGGCCUUUUAAGUCAGGUGUGAAAGCGUGAGGCUUAACCUCAUUAAGCACUUGAAACUGGAAGGCUUGAGUGAAGGAGAGGAAAGUGGAAUUCCUAGUGUAGCGGUGAAAUGCGUAGAUAUUAGGAGGAAUACCGGUGGCGAAGGCGACUUUCUGGACUUUUACUGACGCUCAGGUACGAAAGCGUGGGGAGCAAACAGG